GAUCAGCCAUGCUCACACUACACGCUAUCGUGCUGUCAAGUGGGAUACUUGGUACUUGAAGACCUCGUGGAUCAGCUGAAGGGCCAGAAAUCAAGUACAUCAAGAAGUCUGAGUCUGGUGCCAUGGAGAAAAUUUGGACGAGAAGGUUAAGGAAAGCCCGUGUGUUGGUUUGAAUGAGAAUGUCCCCCGCAGGCUCUGUCAUUCUGCCCCAGUUGGUGUCGCUGUUCAUGAUGUGUAAAUGUAGUGUCGCUGAAGGAGGAAGCCACCUUGGAACAAGAUCGCCGAGGCAAAGAGUUUGAGGAAUGUAUCUCAUCUCUCAUCCCUUCUUCUCUGCCUGCUUCCUGGCUGCCAAGAGGUGAUGCUCUGCCCCUCCACUUCCUCCUACCACGAUGCCUUGCCCCGGGGCUCAGAGGCAGUGGAGCCAGCCAGCCGUGGACUGAAACCUUUCCUCCCUUUAAGGUCCUGCUUGCUAGGGAGGAACGUGUUCCCUGAGGUCCUCUAGGGCGGCGUUUCUCAACCUUCCUGACAACGCUGCCACCCUUCAAAACAGCUCCUCCUCUUGGGGUGACACCAACCAUAAAGGCCGUUGCUCUAGAGCACUGGACCAAUUUAGGUUCCCUCGGCUUUCUGUCCAUUCCUAAUUGUGACUGUUGCUUGCCGUCAUGCCUCUCUCCUCCAGCAUGGACUCUAACCCUCUAGAAACUGCAUAUUUCACCUCAGACUAUGAGGAGGAAACAACGAAGUCAUAGAGUCCGUCUGCCUUUCCUGAUUCCCCAGCUAUCAGCGGCACAAUUUUCACAUGAGGCUUUCUGAGCCCCUGAAAACCGCGCUGCUUCACGCCCGUCUCUUUGUGGAUUCCAUCUGGAGAGCCAACAUGAUCACUGCCUCUUCGUGGAGUGUCAGCCUCACAGUGUUUUACUGAUACAGAGAAACUCCUGUGAAUGGAAUAAAAGCCUCGAAAUCCAGAAUACUCACUCCCCAUGUGAGGCCACAGCACCAGAUCAUAGCAGCGACAGUGGUGGGCCGAGAGGGCGUGGUUACCGGGAAGGUCUGUUGAGUGUCUUAAAUACUCUUCCCUUAGAUGUCUUCAUACAUUUUAAGGGAGUGAGCUAGCAGCAGUUAUAUUUUUUAUUAUUUUUUUUGAGAUUAUAAUCACAUCAUUUCCCCCUUCCCUUUCCACCCUCUGAGCCUUCCCAUAUACCCCUCUUUGCUCACUUUCAAGAAAAUGGUCCCCCUUCCUCUAUUAACUGUCAUUUCAUGCAAAUAUGUUUAUGCAUAUAUAUUACUAAACAUACAAAUACAACCUGUUCUGUCUGCAUAAUGUUACAUGUAUAUAUGCUUUUCAGGGCUGACCACACGGUAUUGGAUAGCCAGCAGGCGUGCUCUUCCUUCUCUCGGCAACGUAGAGUAGCCUGUAGUUCUUCAUGUAGGGUUGGAUCUUCUUGGGCCACCCCACCCGACCACCCCAACCUCACCCAAGUUAGCAUGUCUAUUUGUGUCUUCUGUAACCAGCCCAUGUUUAGUCAGUAGGUUGCUGAGAAUUCACAAGUGUAGCCCCUGGUGUCCCUAGCUUCAUCUUUUCAUCACUUAUCUUCCUGUAUUUUCAAUUAUUCAGUAUUUUCAAUUAUUUUAAGAGUUCCACACAACAUAUUUUUCAGUGGCAAAUAAUAUCUAAGAACCAACACAAGUAACGGUUGGGGGUGGCCUGGUGCUGCUGUGCAUUCAAAUGCUAAAUUCUGUACUCCAAGAUCUGGCUGCCCCAAGAAUUCCCACAUAUGCCAGCCUUUGUUGGGUAAACCUUGUUCCCCAAUUUAAAUCUAUAGGUUAAAUAAAAGUGGUAAAUUCCUGGGGAGAGUAGGAGGCGGCAGGGUUUUAGUUACCAGGCAGGGAUCACAGGCAGGGACCAAGAGGAGAAGGAGAAAGGGGGCGAGAGAGAGCACAGAGGAGAAAGAAGAAGGGAGAGGAGGAGAGCUCCAUUAGACUCGAUGGACCAGGAACACGCGCCAGAGUCAAAGGGUCUGCCAGGACAGACAGCUGGAGCAGAAAUAGCCUAGAAAGACUCAAACAGCAAGUAUCUGGGGAGCAGAGCUGGGGAAGUAGCCAGCCUCGCUAGAGAAGUGUAGUAGGGUGGUUUACCCCGUGACCGCACUAAAGCUAAAUGAACGCCACAUAAUCUGAGUCUCGCUCACUUGAAAAUCUAACAGGGAUAGAGGACUCCUGCAAAGUUAGAGCUUGAGGAGAGACAAGUGUAUUCUGGAUAAAAGUUACUCAAGCUGGCUGAUCCAAGAUUAGAGAUGACUUAUGAAAAUGCAUGUAGCCUGACUUGUUCGUUCUACAUAAAAUUUUAAAAUUAAUACUCUGUUUGCUAAGGAUGCCCUUAAAGUGUUUUCAGCUUGUGCUAAAUCUACCCUG
rnacentral:lncRNA from 1 species